rnacentral:rRNA from 1 species
CCUACGGGUGGCAGCAGUGGGGAAUAUUGGACAAUGGGCGAGAGCCUGAUCCAGCCAUGCCGCGUGUGUGAAGAAGGCCUUCGGGUUGUAAAGCACUUUCAGUGGGGAAGAAAGCCUUGGGGCUAAUACCCUCGAGGAAGGACAUCACCCACAGAAGAAGCACCGGCUAACUCCGUGCCAGCAGCCGCGGUAAUACGGAGGGUGCGAGCGUUAAUCGGAAUUACUGGGCGUAAAGCGCGCGUAGGCGGUCUGAUAAGCCGGUUGUGAAAGCCCCGGGCUCAACCUGGGAACGGCAUCCGGAACUGUCAGGCUAGAGUGCAGGAGAGGAAGGUAGAAUUCCCGGUGUAGCGGUGAAAUGCGUAGAGAUCGGGAGGAAUACCAGUGGCGAAGGCGGCCUUCUGGACUGACACUGACGCUGAGGUGCGAAAGCGUGGGUAGCAAACAGGAUUAGAUACCCUGGUAGUC